rnacentral:tmRNA from 1 species
CUAUGGUUGUAGACGAAUAUGUUGGCAGGUGUUUGGACGUGGGUUCGACUCCCACCGGCUCCAUAA